GGACCCGCACAAGCGGUGGAUGAUGUGGUUUAAUUCGAUGCAACGCGAAAACCUUACCUACCCUUGACAUGUCAGGAAUCCUUCAGAGAUGAGGGAGUGCUCGCAAGAGAACCUGAACACAGGUGCUGCAUGGCUGUCGUCAGCUCGUGUCGUGAGAUGUUGGGUUAAGUCCCGCAACGAGCGCAACCCUUGUCAUUAGUUGCUACGAAAGGGCACUCUAAUGAGACUGCCGGUGACAAACCGGAGGAAGGUGGGGAUGACGUCAAGUCCUCAUGGCCCUUAUGGGUAGGGCUACACACGUCAUACAAUGGCUGGUACAAAGGGCUGCCAACCCGCGAGGGGGAGCCAAUCCUAUAAAACCAGUCGUAGUCCGGAUUGCACUCUGCAACUCGAGUGCAUGAAGUCGGAAUCGCUAGUAAUCGUGGAUCAGCAUGUCACGGUGAAUACG
rnacentral:rRNA from 1 species